GACGAACGCUGGCGGCGUGCUUAACACAUGCCAGUCGAACGGAAAGGCCCUGCUUGCAGGGUACUCGAGUGGCGAACGGGUGAGUAACACGUGGGUGAUCUGCCCUGCACUUCGGGAUAAGCCUGGGAAACUGGGUCUAAUACCGGAUAGGAGCCAUUUUUAGUGUGAUGGUUGGAAAGUUUUUUCGGUGUAGGAUGAGCUCGCGGCCUAUCAGCUUGUUGGUGGGGUAAUGGCCUACCAAGGCGGCGACGGGUAGCCGGCCUGAGAGGGUGGACGGCCAAAUUGGGCCUGGGAUACGCCCCAGACUCCUACGGGAGGCAGCAGGGGGGAUUAUGGCACAAGGGGCGCAGGCCUGUGGAAGCAACGCCGCGUGGGGGUUGACGGCUUUCGGUUGGUAACUCCUUUCGCUAGGGACGAAGCUUUUUGUGACGGUACCUAGAUAAGAAGCACCGGCUAACUACGUG
rnacentral:rRNA from 1 species